GCACAAGCGGUGGAGCAUGUGGUUUAAUUCGACGCAACGCGAAGAACCUUACCUGGCCUUGACAUGCAGAGAACUGUCCAGAGAUGGACGGGUGCCUUCGGGAACUCUGACACAGGUGCUGCAUGGCCGUCGUCAGCUCGUGUCGUGAGAUGUUGGGUUAAGUCCCGUAACGAGCGCAACCCCUAUCCCUAGUUGCCAGCGAUUUGGUCGGGAACUCUAGGGAGACUGCCGGUGACAAACCGGAGGAAGGUGGGGAUGACGUCAAAUCAUCAUGCCCCUUAUGACCUGGGCUACACACGUGCUACAAUGGACGGUACAAACGGUUGCCAACCCGCGAGGGGGAGCCAAUCCGAUAAAACCGUUCUCAGUUCGGAUUGUAGGCUGCAACUCGCCUACAUGAAGCCGGAAUCGCUAGUAAUCGCGGAUCAGCAUGCCGCGGUGAAUACGUUCCCGGGC
rnacentral:rRNA from 1 species